rnacentral:lncRNA from 1 species
UCCCACUAAUAAGCCAAAUUAACUCCCACAUUUCCCAACCUUAAUUUGCUCCACCACUGUCUAAAACAAUUGAUUAAUAUUUCAAAUAUGUCACUAAUCUAGAGAAACGUUCUCGGAUAAGACACUACAAUAAAAACGGUCUAUAGCGACACUUUUAAACGUAGGUAUAUGUCAAAAAAAUGCUGCUAGCUAAAAUUACUGACACUUUUAAAAAGUGUUGCUAUAUGUGGGGUCGCUAGGUAUAUAGUGACAGUUAAAGAGUGUCGCUAUAACCUAAAAGAAUGCUGCUAAUUUACCAACACUUAUUUAAGCAUUUAGCAACCGCCGAAACUCUAUCUCGUUGGCUGCGGUGGCGGAGGAGAACGACAGUAAAGGCUUUUCGUCUAGAAUUUUAGUGAAUUGAGUGAAGAGAGAAGAAAAGACGGUAAUUGAUUUUUCUUUUUUUUUUUCUUUUCUAUUUGUAAUUUUGCCAAAUGGACGGGGUGUGGUGGGUUGAGUAGAGUAAUCUUUUAUUUUUGGUUGGAUUGGGCUUCAUAUUUAGGCAUUAGUAGAUGUGUUUUUAAGUUUUAGCAUAAAUAGGACACUUACUCAAAGUGUCCCAAACAUGUGUUCCUAUAACCUAAUUCUGUUGUAGUGAGAAAAGAAAAAUAAUACUUCCAACUUGCACGGAUCG